rnacentral:rRNA from 1 species
AACGAACGCUGGCGGCAUGCCUAACACAUGCAAGUCGAACGAAGGCUUCGGCCUUAGUGGCGCACGGGUGCGUAACGCGUGGGAAUCUGCCCUUUGGUUCGGAAUAACAGCUGGAAACGGCUGCUAAUACCGGAUGAUGACGAAAGUCCAAAGAUUUAUCGCCAGAGGAUGAGCCCGCGUUGGAUUAGGUAGUUGGUGGGGUAAAGGCCUACCAAGCCGACGAUCCAUAGCUGGUCUGAGAGGAUGAUCAGCCACACAGGGACUGAGACACGGCCCAGACUCCUACGGGAGGCAGCAGUGGGGAAUAUUGGACAAUGGGCGCAAGCCUGAUCCAGCAAUGCCGCGUGAGUGAUGAAGGCCCUAGGGUUGUAAAGCUCUUUUACCCGGGAAGAUAAUGACUGUACCGGGAGAAUAAGCCCCGGCUAACUCCGU